AUUGAACGCUGGCGGCAGGCCUAACACAUGCCAGUCGAACGGUAACAGGAAGAAGCUUGCUCCUUUGCUGACGAGUGGCGGACGGGUGAGUAAUGUCUGGGAAACUGCCUGAUGGAGGGGGAUAACUACUGGAAACGGUAGCUAAUACCGCAUAACGUCGCAAGACCAAAAAGGGGGACCUUCGGGCCUCUUGCCAUCGGAUGUGCCCAGAUGGGAUUAGCUAGUAGGUGGGGUAACGGCUCACCUAGGCGACGAUCCCUAGCUGGUCUGAGAGGAUGACCAGCCACACUGGAACUGAGACACGGUCCAGACUCCUACGGGAGGCAGCAGUGGGGAAUAUUGCACAAUGGGCGCAAGCCUGAUGCAGCCAUGCCGCGUGUAUGAAGAAGGCCUUCGGGUUGUAAAGUACUUUCAGCGGGGAGGAAGGGAGUAAAGUUAAUACCUUUGCUCAUUGACGUUACCCGCAGAAGAAGCACCGGCUAACUCCGUG
rnacentral:rRNA from 1 species